CUUCCUGGUUGGGCCCUGCCCUGAGCUGCCACCGGGAAGCCAGCCUCAGGGACCGCAGCGACCCCCAAACACCCCUCCCCCAGGAUGUCGGAGGAGAUCAUCACGCCGGUGUACUGCACCGGAGUGUCAGCCCAAGUGCAGAAGCAGCGGGCCAGGGAGCUGGGCCUCGGCCGCCAUGAGAAUGCCAUCAAGUACCUGGGCCAGGAUUAUGAGCAGCUGCGGGUGCGAUGCCUGCAGAGUGGGACCCUCUUCCGUGAUGAGGCCUUCCCCCCGGUGCCCCAGAGCCUGGGUUACAAGGACCUGGGUCCCAAUUCCUCCAAGACCUAUGGCAUCAAGUGGAAGCGUCCCACGGGGACUGCUGGCUCUUGGCGGCCAUCGCCUCCCUCACUCUCAACGACACCCUCCUGCACCGAGUGGUUCCACACGGUCAGAGCUUCCAGAAUGGCUAUGCCGGCAUCUUCCAUUUCCAGCUGUGGCAAUUUGGGGAGUGGGUGGACGUGGUCGUGGAUGACCUGCUGCCCAUCAAGGACGGGAAGCUAGUGUUCGUGCACUCUGCCG
rnacentral:sRNA from 1 species